GGUUGUGUGGUCUAGUGGUAGGAUACCGCGUUGUGGUUAAACAACAAACCCGCGUUGGCCUGGGUUCGAUUCCCAGCACAACCA